AGGACGAACGCUGGCGGCGUGCUUAACACAUGCAAGUCGAGCGGAAAGGCCCUUCGGGGUACUCGAGCGGCGAACGGGUGAGUAACACGUGAGUAACCUGCCCUGGACUUUGGGAUAACCCCUCGGAAAACGGGGGCUAAUACCGAAAUAUGACCCGAUACCGCAUGGUGAUGGGUGGAAAGUUUUUCGGCUGGGAUGGGCUCGCGGCCUAUCAGCUUGUUGGUGGGUGAUGGCCUACCGAAGGCGACGACGGGUAG
rnacentral:rRNA from 1 species